rnacentral:tRNA from 1 species
GGGGAUGUAACUCAAUGGUAGAAUGCAUUCUUAACAUUCAUGAAGCCCUGGGUUCAAUCACCAGCACCUCUC